rnacentral:rRNA from 1 species
AGCGAACGCUGGCGGCAGGCUUAACACAUGCAAGUCGAGCGGGCAUAGCAAUAUGUCCGCGGCAGACGGGUGAGUAACGCGCGGGAACGUACCUUUUGGUUCGGAACAACUGAGGGAAACUUCAGCUAAUACCGGAUAAGCCCUUACGGGGAAAGAUUUAUCGCCGAAAGAUCGGCCCGCGUCUGAUUAGCUAGUUGGUGAGGUAAUGGCUCACCAAGGCGACGAUCAGUAGCUGGUCUGAGAGGAUGAACAGCCACAUUGGGACUGAGACACGGCCCAAACUCCUACGGGAGGCAGCAGUGGGGAAUAUUGGACAAUGGGCGCAAGCCUGAUCCAGCCAUGCCGCGUGAGUGAUGAAGGCCCUAGGGUUGUAAAGCUCUUUUGUGCGGGAAGAUAAUGACGGUACCGCAAGAAUAAGCCCCGGCUAACUUCGUG